CGGUAGUGAAGGCUGAGAAAGAGGCUGGCUGGGUCCGCCUGGCAGCCUACGAGAAGAGGCGGGAGCGGGAAAGGAGGGAGCCGAGGCCCGGCGUGGGGAGGCUGGCAGGAAGGGCCGCGAGCCCAGUGCGGACGUUUCUUCAGCCUCCCGGCGGCCGAGCGGCCCGCUGGGUUGCUAUACUGAGGACAUUCAGACUUCCUCGGACCUGGGUCGCUGGAGCAGAAAUAGUGGUCUUCCUCGCGCCCAGUGCUCGUGCUGCGGCUCGUGCGCCGCUAGCCUCCCGGCGCGGGAUGCUGGCGUGAGAAAGAGCCGAGCUGUGGGACCCACCCGGCGUGCAGUCGGUGAAGAAGGCCUGUGCGCUGCGAGGCGGGUGGAGGCGUCGGAGUUCACUGUUUAGACGGGCUUUGUCUCCUCACGUUUCAGUCAGACUCCGCAGAGUUCUCAGCAUACCCCCUCAGAGGAGCGCAAAGUUAGUGAACUCCGGGCUCGUUUUCCUGUCAGCCGGGGAAGGGGAAGCAGCAUCCCACCCUCAGGUGCAGACGGGAACUUAGCAAAGGGCUAUCUGAUGAAAGGCGAUUCCGGGCACCAAGAGGAACCGGUUCCACUUUUCCUAGUCCGGAGAAGCCGGAGGAAAGGGGAUGCGGGGAGGGGGUGCGGGCGGCCGGCGUCAGCCGCUUCCUCAGAGAGCCUGGCAGUUUCGCGCGGGAUCUGCGGCGAGACCGUGGGGCACGCCCUCGAGCGAGGCACCCUCAGCCUAGCUGGGACCAGGGAGAAACCCUAAGUUUACUUGACGUGACAAGCUCCUGCUUCAUGGAAGAAGAAGCCUCCUGGGUGAACAGAGCGGCAGAGCCCUGGCUGAACCUCAGCUAGCUGGCCCACCGCCAGGCAACUUUUCCUUCACCAAGUUUGCAGCCUGGAGGAGAGCCUACAGCCUAAGUGAAGAAAGAGAAGCCAUCUUGCUUUCAUGACUGGACAAGCAUGAAAAUAAAAGCUUCCCUGUGACAAUGAUGGAGCAAAAUGAUAGAAGGGCCCCAGACUCCCUUCCUUCAGACUUCUUGUUAUAACUAGAACAACAACGACAAAAAAAUUUAAUUUGUAUGGAAACUCCAAAGCCUUGAAGAGCCAAAGCAGUUUUGAGAAAGAAAAGCAGAGCCAGAGGAAUGAGGCUCCCCAACUUCAGACUUUACUACAAAGCUACAGUGCUCCAAACAGUAUGAUAAUGGCACAAAAAACAGAAAUAUUGAUCAGUGGGACAGCAUAGAAAGCCUAGAAAUAAACCCAUGCGUCUACGGCCAAUCAAUCUACAAAAAAGGAGGCAAGAAUAUACAAUGGAAAUAAAGGCAAACUCUUCAGUAAGUAGUGCUGUGGAAACUGGACAGCU